UGGAAAGCAAGGAGAUGCAAAAGGGCAUAGCAUUUUUUACAAUGAAUCUAUGAACUCUCAGUCAGAAGAUAAAAACCUUGAUUCAUGAUAUCAUCAAACUGUCAAUGACCUCGGAGUGAUUAGAGAGUUUAUUGUCCUUGAAUACCAUAGCAAUAGCCAUUUUCCACAAAUCUGUAUCAAUUACAUUUGCCUUAACUAGACUAUUCAAAACUGAACAUAAUAAAUCCUCAUUCCCCUCCUCGCACAACCUGUUAACAUAUUUACAUAUAAUAGAAGAACGAGGUGUAAAACCUUUGAAAAUCAUCUCAUCCAAAAUAAAUGCUGCUUCAUUGAGCUGCAUCCCAUCACAAAGCCCAUCAAAAAGAAUCCUAUAUGACACAACAUCAGGAGCACAGCCACGCCUUGGCAUAUCUUCAAAUAAAUCUUUUGCUUCGCUCCAGUUCCCAUCCUUGCAUAACUCACCAAGUAUCACAUUAUAACUAAUGACAUCUGGUUUACAUCCCUUCUCCAUCAUUUCAACCAAAAUUUUAUAAGCUGCUUUGAAAUCCUUAUCCUUACAAAAGCCAUUAAUUAUCACAUUGUAAGUCACAGUAUCAGGCUUGCAGCCACUUAAAUUCAUUUCCUCCAAAAUUCCAUGAACCUCCUCUUUCCUUCCAACUUUAAAGAGCCCACUAAUCAAAGUAGAAUAAAUCGCUGAGUCCAAUUUGAUUCCAUCCCUAACCAUCUCUUCCUUGAGACUAAAAGCUAAACUUAACUCACCAACCCCACAGACCCCCUUUAACAACGAUGCAUAGACAUAAGCAUCAGGACACACCCCAUGGACCUUAGCCAUAUAAUUCUUCAACUUAAAAGCCUCUUCCAACUUUAAAUCCAAACAAAGCCCGUAAAUCAAAGUCCCAAAUGUCACCACAUUAGGAAAAAGGUCUCUCCUUCUCAUUUCGUUGAACACCUUCCAUGCAUCAUCUACUCUCCUAUCCGAACAUAACCCACGAAUCAGUAUAUUGUAAGUGCAAGCGUCCGAUUUCAAAUGUCUCUCAAGAUAUGCAAAAAGCUCUCUCAUUCUACCAAACUCUUUGCACAUUAUGAAUACGUUUAGCAAGGAAUUAAAGGAUUUUAUAGUCCUUUGACAGCGAAAAGAAGGCAUUUUGUCAAACACUUGGAGCGCAUUAUUAGGGAGGCGUGCACAGCCAUAAUAUGUGAUAAUAUUGCAAAAGAGAGCUUCUUUGGGGACAAAACGUGUUUCAGAUUUGAGUUGAAGGAGGAUUUUCUCCAUUUCAUCAAACAUUUUAGCACGCCCAAGUUUGGUAAUGAUGAGGUCAUAGGAGAGAAGGGAAUAGCGAAACUGUUGCUGGGGUAUUUGAGGGUUUGGGUUCUCAAAGAGAUGGAGUGCAAGCUUAGGGUCUUUCUGGAGACGGAGGAGAGAGGAAAGCCUGUAGGAGUUGAUGGGUUUUAGUGGGUUCAUUUCUGCGUUGCAGAGGUUUGACAAAUGGAAUGAGCAAACGGAGUAGUGUUUCUGCUUCCCGCCAAAAAAAUGCUAUAUCACUAGUUGUCCGUUAUCAACAUUUCCGGUAUUAAAUCUGACAACCUGUUAUCGACCGGC
rnacentral:misc_RNA from 1 species